UACAGAGGUCUCAAGCGUUGUUCGGAUUCAUUGGGCGUAAAGGGUGUGUAGGUGGCGCGCUAAGUCGGGUGUGAAAUUUCGGAGCUUAACUCCGAAACUGCAUUCGAUACUGGCGUGCUUGAGGACUGGAGAGGAGACUGGAAUUUACGGUGUAGCAGUGAAAUGCGUAGAUAUCGUAAGGAAGACCAGUGGCGAAGGCGGGUCUCUGGACAGUUCCUGACACUGAGACACGAAGGCCAGGGGGAGCAAACGGG
rnacentral:rRNA from 1 species